UAGACAAAGGUACAUUAUUUUUUUCUCUUAUAAUAAAGAUUUUGAAUCUCCAUCUUCAUAAUUGAUAUGUUAAUAAACACUUUAGACCCAUUUGUUCCUCGCAUUGAUAGCAAAAUCUUUUUUUUUUUUGGUCCUUCCCCCCCACCCCCCAGACAGGGUUUCUCUGUGUAGUCGUGGCUGUCCUGGAACUCACUCUGUAGACCAGACUGGCCUCGAACUCAGAGAUCCGCCUGCCUCUGCCUCCCAAGUACUGAGAUUAAUGGCGUGCACCAUCAUGACCACUGCCUGACUUGACAGCAAAUUCUUAAACUGAUCUUUCUUUUUUGUGACGACUUCUGCCUCCCAAGUGCUGGGAUUAAAGGCGUGUGCCACCACCGCCCGGCUGUGACUACUUCUUAAUUACCUUUUUUUAAUGUCAAAAAUAGCUUUUCCCUCCUUAAUAAAUCACAGAAUAAUUUAAUCCCAAGGAACUACAUAACUAUAUUGUAUUUCAGACCCAGGUCUGGCUGCUGCAUAUCCAUGUCUGAGGAUGGGAAAGCUUCUAAGAAAGUGUCUGAGGAUCUAAGAAGGUGUUUUAAGGUUGGGAAGUUCAGCAUAGAGGGCGGGGUAUGGCAUCCAUGCCCUGUACCAGGUAGGGCCUGGGGGAGCUGAGAGGACCUGGAGCCCAGGUCCACUUUGGUACGCUAACUAUGCACCUCCGCCACUUGUCCUGGGUGUGAAACCCAAUAGUGUCAAGUUAAAACAGGCUCAGUUUAUCUUACUCCAUCAGCUUGCUUUUUAACCCCUCCCCCCCCUUUUUUUGGAUAAUUGAAACAACUUUAAUUCAUAAUGGAAAUAAAAUACAGUCCUCUAAAAUAAUGUGUGUCUCUGUGAUAAAGCUAUGCAAAUGCUGAUAUUUAUAAAAUAGAAAUAGCAAAAUCGCUCUUCUGGAACCACUUGCACCUUGAAAAGGCCUUGUGUCACUAAAAGUCUAAUAAGAGCCCUCCCUUCAAAAUAAGAGCCCUUCCUUCAAAAAGCUGUGGCUAAGUAAGUAAAAGUGUAUUCACAUAAGUUAUGUAGUUCUUCUUCAAGUUUGUGAGCUUACCAUAUGAACAUAACAUGCCUGAUCACACGUGACUGUAAACCUUUCCUACACAGAGAUGGAAUUUGAAUUCUCUGCCAUCUCUUGGGCUGUUCCUCUCUGUCCCACCCAGCAACCAGCACUGUCUAGUAAGAAUUGUCUUCCCUGCAAACAUAAGGGUGGGAAAUGGCUCUCUUAGUUUUCAUGUGAUACUUAUGACCAAUACUCUAUAAACUCUUUUGUAGAUGUGAUCACCCUUGGUAGCUAUCUUAAGUAUUGGGUAAAGUUCCUUAAAUUUGUCAUUGUAUAUUUUUUCCUAAUACUGGUUCAUGUGUCUUUAUAUUAUCUCAAAUAUCCACGGCAAAUACACUGAGUGUACCUACUUGAUAGCCUAAAAUAAGCUGGGUAACUAAUCGUAUUAACAUAACCUAUGCUCUUGAAAUGUAAACUUUCAUAUGGUUUACCAUGUUCCCCAAGCCCCAACCACUAAUUCAUGUGGUCUGCCUAGGGUUUGUAUCUUGAUAUCUUAAUACAUUUUUUUUUAAAUCAUAAAUGUACAGCAUUGUAAAAUACAAGCACUUUUGGCAAAGUUGCAUAGUCUUCAUUCAGUAUCAUCAGCCUUUAGUUUCUUUGGGCUGUGUUGUUUGUGUGCUGGAAAUUGAACCCAGGGCUUCACGCAUGCAUGUAUACGCUCCCACGGAGCCACAUCCCCAGUCUUUUUCAUUCACUAUUUGUGGACACCAUUGAAUAAACCAUCCUCUCAGUAAAUGUAAUUCUCUGCCUGUUUUCUUCAUGUUAUUUUCCCAAUAGCAUGCUGCAAAGCCUCUUUACAUGACUGUAUCAAUAACACAUCUGUCCACCUUUAAAAUGGCUGCCUAGCUAACACACAUCUGUCACGGUAGCCACGAGGGAGAAGGAAGUGAAGGUGGGGAAGCAGGAGUUCCAGGCUUUUAAAAACAUUCAAGGAAUCCUACAAUCCUGCCUUCAGUGUGCUGAUAGAUUUAUUUAGUUGACUGUAAACCAGAAAACUGAUGGAGUGAGGCCUGAUGAAGCCAGAGGACAAAUGCCUCUAAUUCCUGUGCUUUGGAGGAAUAGUGGGAGGGCCCAAAACUCAAAUAGCCAGCUUAGGCUAUUUGAGACCUUGUUAGGAAAAUAAACAAACCUGUCAGAAUUACAACAGUAAUAUCUGAGUCAGACCUCACAGAUCUUCUAUCUGUCCAGUUUGUCUACACGCUACUAACAUUCACAAAGCAAAACGAAAAAACAAAAACACAGCUGAAGGUUAGGAAUUUGAUAUAAAGACAAAUACUAGACUGGGAGAUGUGUCCUGUUCAGCAUGCAUCAAGCCCAAGGUUCAAACUCCAACACCCAAAAGGGGUUAAAUACAACACUGGCUACCCUUCGGUUGCUGCAAGCCUCCCAAAAGAACGGUGCUUAUUAGAAUAUGAGAUGCAUUCUAUGAACGAAAUAGGUGUAAGAUGCUUCGGUACACGCUGUUGAGUUGAAACUCAAUGGAAAGCGUCGAAACUUUAGACUUAUUUACAACCAAGUGACUUCCUUUUGAAAUCAAACGGAUUUUUCUUAGAAUGGCUGGUGAGAGGUGGGCAGAGUUCUAGGGUUUGACCUGAGUUCAGUGUUACUGGGUCAGAAUCC
rnacentral:lncRNA from 1 species